UACGGGGGGAGCAAGCGUUGUUCGGAUUUACUGGGCGUAAAGGGCGCGUAGGCGGUCGUGACAAGUCACUUGUGAAAUCUCCGGGCUUAACUCGGAACGGUCAAGUGAUACUGUCGGACUAGAGUACAGAAGGGGCAACUGGAAUUCCUGGUGUAGCGGUGAAAUGCGCAGAUAUCAGGAAGAACACCUAUGGCGAAGGCAGCUCUCUGGGACGGUACUGACGCUGAGACACGAAAGCGUGGGGAGCGAACAGG
rnacentral:rRNA from 1 species